rnacentral:rRNA from 1 species
GAAUAAGCAUCGGCUAACUUCGUGCCAGCAGCCGCGGUAAGACGAAGGAUGCAAGCGUUAUCCGGAUUCAUUGGGUUUAAAGGGAGCGUAGGUGGACUGAUAAGUCAGUGGUGAAAUCUCUUCGCUUAACGAAGAAAUUGCCAUUGAUACUGUUGGUCUUGAGUACAGUUGCUGUGGGCGGAAUAUGACAUGUAGUGGUGAAAUACAUAGAGAUGUCAUAGAACACCGAUUGCGAAGGCAGCUCACUACUUGUGGAUUGACGCUGAUGGACGAAAGCGUGGGGAGCGAACAGGAUUAGAUACCCUGGUAGUCCACGCCGUAAACGAUGGAUACUAGCUAA